UCGGAAUGACUGGGCGUAAAGGGCGUGUAGGCGGUUUACACAGUCAGAUGUGAAAUCCCCGGGCUUAACCUGGGAGCUGCAUUUGAGACGUUAAGACUAGAGUGUGAGAGAGGGUUGUGGAAUUCCCAGUGUAGAGGUGAAAUUCGUAGAUAUUGGGAAGAACACCGGUGGCGAAGGCGGCAACCUGGCUCAUUACUGACGCUGAGGCGACGAAAGCGGUGGGGAGAC
rnacentral:rRNA from 1 species